rnacentral:rRNA from 1 species
GACGAACGCUGGCGGCGUGCUUAACACAUGCAAGUCGAACGCUGAAGCUCAGCUUUUGUUGGGUGGAUGAGUGGCGAACGGGUGAGUAACACGUGAGUAACCUGCCCCCUUCUUUGGGAUAACGCCCGGAAACGGGUGCUAAUACUGGAUAUUCACUGGUCUUCGCAUGGGGGUUGGUGGAAAGGGUUUUUCUGGUGGGGGAUGGGCUCGCGGCCUAUCAGCUUGUUGGUGGGUUGAUGGCCUACCAAGGCUUUGACGGGUAGCCGGCCUGAGAGGGUGACCGGUCACAUUGGGACUGAGAUACGGCCCAGACUCCUACGGGAGGCAGCAGUGGGGAAUAUUGCACAAUGGGCGCAAGCCUGAUGCAGCGACGCCGCGUGAGGGAUGGAGGCCUUCGGGUUGUGAACCUCUUUCGCUCAUGGUCAAGCCGCAACAAUGGUUGUGGUGAGGGUAGUGGGUAAAGAAGCGCCGGCUAACUACGUG